rnacentral:rRNA from 1 species
GACGAACGCUGGCGGCGUGCUUAACACAUGCAAGUCGAACGGAAAGGCCCUGCUUUUGUGGGGUGCUCGAGUGGCGAACGGGUGAGUAACACGUGAGUAACCUGCCCUUGACUUUGGGAUAACUUCAGGAAACUGGGGCUAAUACCGGAUAGGAGCUCCUGCUGCAUGGUGGGGGUUGGAAAGUUUCGGCGGUUGGGGAUGGACUCGCGGCUUAUCAGCUUGUUGGUGGGGUAGUGGCUUACCAAGGCUUUGACGGGUAGCCGGCCUGAGAGGGUGACCGGCCACAUUGGGACUGCGAUACGGCCCAGACUCCUACGGGAGGCAGCAGUGGGGAAUAUUGCACAAUGGGCGGAAGCCUGAUGCAGCAACGCCGCGUGCGGGAUGACGGCCUUCGGGUUGUAAACCGCUUUCGCCUGUGACGAAGCGUGAGUGACGGUAAUGGGUAAAGAAGUACCGGCUAACUACGUG